rnacentral:rRNA from 1 species
UACAGAGGGUGCAAGCGUUAAUCGGAAUUACUGGGCGUAAAGCGUGCGUAGACGGUCAUGUAAGUCGGGUGUGAAAGCCCCGGGUCACACUGGGAAUUGCAUUCGAGACUGCAUGGCUAGGGUGCGGAAGAGGGAAGCGGAAUUUCCGGUGUAGCGGUGAAAUGCGUAGAUAUCGGAAGGAACACCAGUGGCGAAAGCGGCUUCCUGGUCCAGCACCGACGUCAGGCACGAAAGCGUGGGGAGCAAACAGG